UAUGGAGGAGCAGUGGUGCUAAAUAUGGACUCAAAUUAAAGGAAGCUCUCAGGAACUUAAAAAAGGAAGUGAAAGAGGGAGAAGGAGAUAGAUGUCGUGGUGAAAGGAAACUUCUCCAAGUGGCUAAAAGAUGGCAGAGCUUAUGUUGGUUUCCUGCCGGAGCUGCCAGGUGCUGUGUUUACGGAGACCACUGCCUGGCAACGCAGUCCAAACAGCCAGAGGAAGAGGGAGCUGUGGCGAGCACACUGGUGAUCCAGGUCCAGAGUCCAUUCACAGCUGACAUGUUUGCACAGUGUUAGGUGCUGCGUCAUGCCGCAGAGGGAUGUCAACAAAAGAUUACGGAGAACAGCAAUGACCACAGACUGACAGAAAACAUCUUCAGCUUAUGUUUGAAAAGGUAAAACAGGCAGAGCCUGGCCUUUUAGAUUUAGUAGUCCUGGUCUUGAAUAUUUCCAGACAUAAAAUCCUUGAAUUCUAUUGCGAUUUUAUGUGACUAACACAAAGUUGUGUAUAGUUGUGAACAUCAAAAACUAUCUGUGGUUGCAUAGGCCAUAAAGCUUUAUUUGAGUAUGU